AGAGUUUGAUCCUGGCUCAGAUUGAACGCUGGCGGCAUGCUUUACACAUGCAAGUCGGACGGCAGCACAGAGAAGCUUGCUUCUCGGGUGGCGAGUGGCGAACGGGUGAGUAACAUAUCGGAACGUACCGAGUAGUGGGGGAUAACUGAUCGAAAGAUCAGCUAAUACCGCAUACGUCUUGAGAGGGAAAGCAGGGGACCUUCGGGCCUUGCGCUAUUCGAGCGGCCGAUAUCUGAUUAGCUGGUUGGUGGGGUAAAGGCCUACCAAGGCGACGAUCAGUAGCGGGUCUGAGAGGAUGAUCCGCCACACUGGGACUGAGACACGGCCCAGACUCCUACGGGAGGCAGCAGUGGGGAAUUUUGGACAAUGGGCGCAAGCCUGAUCCAGCCAUGCCGCGUGUCUGAAGAAGGCCUUCGGGUUGUAAAGGACUUUUGUCAGGGAAGAAAAGGCUGUUGCUAAUAUCAGCGGCUGAUGACGGUACCUGAAGAAUAAGCACCGGCUAACUACGUGCCAGCAGCCGCGGUAAUACGUAGGGUGCGAGCGUUAAUCGGAAUUACUGGGCGUAAAGCGGGCGCAGACGGUUACUUAAGCAGGAUGUGAAAUCCCCGGGCUCAACCCGGGAACUGCGUUCUGAACUGGGUGACUCGAGUGUGUCAGAGGGAGGUAGAAUUCCACGUGUAGCAGUGAAAUGCGUAGAGAUGUGGAGGAAUACCGAUGGCGAAGGCAGCCUCCUGGGACAACACUGACGUUCAUGCCCGAAAGCGUGGGUAGCAAACAGGAUUAGAUACCCUGGUAGUCCACGCCCUAAACGAUGUCAAUUAGCUGUUGGGCAACUUGAUUGCUUAGUAGCGUAGCUAACGCGUGAAAUUGACCGCCUGGGGAGUACGGUCGCAAGAUUAAAACUCAAAGGAAUUGACGGGGACCCGCACAAGCGGUGGAUGAUGUGGAUUAAUUCGAUGCAACGCGAAGAACCUUACCUGGUCUUGACAUGUACGGAAUCCUCCAGAGACGGAGGAGUGCCUUCGGGAGCCGUAACACAGGUGCUGCAUGGCUGUCGUCAGCUCGUGUCGUGAGAUGUUGGGUUAAGUCCCGCAACGAGCGCAACCCUUGUCAUUAGUUGCCAUCAUUCAGUUGGGCACUCUAAUGAGACUGCCGGUGACAAGCCGGAGGAAGGUGGGGAUGACGUCAAGUCCUCAUGGCCCUUAUGACCAGGGCUUCACACGUCAUACAAUGGUCGGUACAGAGGGUAGCCAAGCCGCGAGGCGGAGCCAAUCUCACAAAACCGAUCGUAGUCCGGAUUGCACUCUGCAACUCGAGUGCAUGAAGUCGGAAUCGCUAGUAAUCGCAGGUCAGCAUACUGCGGUGAAUACGUUCCCGGGUCUUGUACACACCGCCCGUCACACCAUGGGAGUGGGGGAUACCAGAAGUAGGUAGGGUAACCGCAAGGAGUCCGCUUACCACGGUAUGCUUCAUGACUGGGGUGAAGUCGUAACAAGGUAGCCGUAGGGGAACCUGCGGCUG
rnacentral:rRNA from 1 species